rnacentral:rRNA from 1 species
UACGUAGGGUGCAAGCGUUGUCCGGAAUUAUUGGGCGUAAAGAGCUCGUAGGCGGUUUGUUGCGUCGGCUGUGAAAUCCCGAGGCUCAACCUCGGGUCUGCAGUCGAUACGAGCAAACUAGAGUGUUGCAGGGGAGACUGGAAUUCCUGGUGUAGCGGUGAAAUGCGCAGAUAUCAGGAGGAACACCGGUGGCGAAGGCGGGUCUCUGGGCAACAACUGACGGCUGAUGCGCGAAAGCCCAGGGGAGCAAACGGG